UGAGACAGUAUUAGCAAUACCAUUUUUGAACCAUAAUCAGUCUGCUGCCACCUCUCUCCGAUAUUUCAAUAUCACUUCAGUAAAUUGAAUUCCAGUCCGUUGUCAGUCCAGCAUAUCCCCUGAGGAUUUUCUUGGGAAAAAAUUGCCUCUUUGUUCUAUGCACUGAUGAUUGCACAGUACUUGAGCAUGUAGAUGGUUACCCUGUUAAUUAUACAGCUGUAUCUUGUAAUAAGCAAUCUUUGAAUGUGAUGCUGUACAGGUAACAAUUUGGCCUAAAAAUAUUUUGGAGUGAAUAUUUCAGCCCUGUGGCUUUUUCUAAUGGAAAGAGGAUAUAUAGAAUUAUACUUUUCAAAAAGCAACCACUGCCCCCAAUAUAGGCAACAUUAGGCAGUUAAAAAUUAUUUAUUUUAAUUUUUAAGAAGAUAGUAAUCCUUUAGUCACUGACUUUCAUGGAAUUUACUACAGGGGUGACAUUAUAAUUCAGAUUGAACAAGAUCCUGGCAGAAAUGAAUAACAGCAGGACAUAUGGGAGAACAAGCCCCUAUAAAGAUAUGCUCCCUAACAGAUGUUCAGUAAUAACUGUGAUUUGAUGUUAUUCCUCCUGGAGUGACCUUGACAGCUGCCGCCAUCUUCUUUGAGUCCUGCUUCUGCCUUCUUGUCCUCCUCUUUCUGGUGUCUUUGCUCUUUAAUCCAACAAGAAGUGAAAUAAGAAGUCUUGACAGUAGAAACAUAGAUGAUAUUUUAAACAAUGCAGAUGUUGAUUUAGUGAAUUUUUAUGCUGAUUGGUGUCAUCCUAUCCUUGAGGAAGCUUCAAAUGUCAUUAAAGAAGAGUAUCCAGAGUUAUAUUUCAGAAGGAAGUCAUGACCUGCUGCCUUUGUCCUAGACACGUUUACUUAGAAGUAAGCACUGCUGAUUUCGAUGACACUUCAAAGGAAAAACAUGUGCGCCAAACCAUUCAAAGAUGGAUAUGAUAGGCAGAAUAUUUCUUCGAUCUUUGACUUAUCUUCAUUUUUUAUUUUAGCUCAGUACUUCACUGCAAUUCUAUAUUCAUUCCUUUUUGUACCCUACUUCUUCAAAUGUUAUACAUUUUCUUUGAAAGGUGGCUGUCUAUUGCUAUGAUAGAUAGCAAUCUCCCACUCAAGCUGUUAACAGUCUUUGGAGUACAAUAUGUGAUAGUGCUGGUAUGUGGAACACAUGCACUCUAGGAAUGAAAAGA